UAUAUAAUACUUAACACAUUCAAUGCCACCACGAUUUUCUAAUACUUCCCAGCGAUGCCGCCCUAUAAAAAACGCAAACAUGCUAGGUGUGCUCGCGGCACUGCAGGAUGGAAUUACGUAGCACGCUAGGCGUGUUCACCGGCACUGUUAAGAGGUAAAAUCAAAGAAAGCGUUAUUUCGGCUUCAACCGUGUUUAUUGAUCAGUCUUUCUCGAGUUACUGAAGAGAUAUUUUGUUUUUAGCAGUGUUUGUGCUUUUGAAAGUUAAAUUAUGGCAGUUAGUAGAUUCCAAGGGAAAACAAAAUAUGUGCAAGAAACAGUGGAAUAUGAUGAUGAUGCGACGCAAGCAGAUAGCCCACCCUCACAAAAACGCCCAAAAGUAGGAGGU